GGUUAAGCGACUAAGCGUACACGGUGGAUGCCCUGGCAGUCAGAGGCGAUGAAGGACGUGCUAAUCUGCGAUAAGCGCCGGUAAGGUGAUAUGAACCGUUAUAACCGGCGAUUUCCGAAUGGGGAAACCCAGUGUGACUCGUCACACUAUCAUUAACUGAAUCCAUAGGUUAAUGAGGCGAACCGGGGGAACUGAAACAUCUAAGUACCCCGAGGAAAAGAAAUCAACCGAGAUUCCCCCAGUAGCGGCGAGCGAACGGGGAGGAGCCCAGAGCCUGAAUCAGCAUGUGUGUUAGUGGAAGCGUCUGGAAAGGCGCGCGAUACAGGGUGACAGCCCCGUACACAAAAGCGCAUGUGUUGUGAGCUCGAUGAGUAGGGCGGGACACGUGGUAUCCUGUCUGAAUAUGGGGGGACCAUCCUCCAAGGCUAAAUACUCCUGACUGACCGAUAGUGAACCAGUACCGUGAGGGAAAGGCGAAAAGAACCCCGGCGAGGGGAGUGAAAAAGAACCUGAAACCGUGUACGUACAAGCAGUGGGAGCACCCUUUGGGGUGUGACUGCGUACCUUUUGUAUAAUGGGUCAGCGACUUAUAUUCUGUAGCAAGGUUAACCGAAUAGGGGAGCCGGAGGGAAACCGAGUCUUAAU
rnacentral:rRNA from 1 species